AACGAACGCUGGCGCAUGCCUAACACAUGCAAGUCGAACGNGACCUUCGGGUCUAGUGGCGCACGGGUGCGUAACGCGUGGGAACCUGCCUUAGGUUCGGAAUAACAGUGAGAAAUUACUGCUAAUACCGGAUAAUAAGUCUACGGAUUUGGAAAGUUUUCGGUUAGGGAUGGGCCCGCGGCCUAUCAGCUUGUUGGUGAGGUAGUGGCUCACCAAGGCGACGACGGGUAGCCGGCCUGAGAGGGCGACCGGCCACACUGGGACUGAGACACGGCCCAGACUCCUACGGGAGGCAGCAGUGGGGAAUCUUAGACAAUGGGGGAAACCCUGAUCUAGCCAUGCCGCGUGAUCGAUGAAGGCCUUAGGGUUGUAAAGAUCUUUCAGAUGGGAAGAUAAUGACGGUACCAUCAGAAGAAGCCCCGGCUAACUCCGUG
rnacentral:rRNA from 1 species